GAUGAACGCUGACAGAAUGCUUAACACAUGCAAGUCUACUUGAACUUCGGUUUGGGUGGCGGACGGGUGAGUAACGCGUAAAGAACUUGCCUCACAGAUAGGGACAACAUUUGGAAACGAAUGCUAAUACCUGAUAUUAUGAUUUUAGGGCAUCCUAGGAUUAUGAAAGCUAUAUGCACUGUGAGAGAGCUUUGCGUCCCAUUAGCUAGUUGGAGAGGUAACGGCUCACCAAGGCGAUGAUGGGUAGCCGGCCUGAGAGGGUGAUCGGCCACAAGGGGACUGAGACACGGCCCUUACUCCUACGGGAGGCAGCAGUGGGGAAUAUUGGACAAUGGACCAAGAGUCUGAUCCAGCAAUUCUGUGUGCACGAUGAAGUUUUUCGGAAUGUAAAGUGCUUUCAGUUGGGAAGAAAAAAAUGACGGUACCAACAGAAGAAGUGACGGCUAAAUACGUG
rnacentral:rRNA from 1 species